rnacentral:rRNA from 1 species
UACGUAGGGUGCGAGCGUUGUCCGGAAUUACUGGGCGUAAAGAGCUCGUAGGUGGUUUGUCGCGUUGUCCGUGAAACUCACAACUCAAUUGUGGCGUGCGGCGAUACGGCAGGACUGGAGUACUGCAGGGGAGACUGGAAUUCCUGGUGUAGCGGUGGAAUGCGCAGAUAUCGCUUGGAACGCCGAAGGUGAAAACAGGUGCUGGGGUUGUGCCGACGCUGAGACACGAAAGCCAGGGGAGGCAAACGGG